UCCAGAAUGUUGUUUGGUUGUGGACUUAC
rnacentral:piRNA from 1 species